UACUCCUCGUGCCCGCAGUCAGUUAUUCUGAGUGUCUCUAAAUCUCUCGCUCUCGCCGUGCUCCUCGCCACUCCCUCUUCUCUCGGUUUGGCCCUCCCCCCUUCCCCCACUCUUUCUUUUUUUUUCAACCUACUUUACACACUUCUCUGUCGUCAUGCGCGGUCGUGGCGGUCGUGGCGGUCGCGGGGGCAGCUUCGGCGGCUUCUCGCAGCAACCUACCAACACCAUCAGCAUUCGCGUGUCGGAGAUUCAGCAGCCCGUCACGGAGGAUGUCAUGCGCCGCGUUUUCCAGAGCGUCGGCGUGUCGUGCAACUCGAUCCAAAUCACUCCGACAAACAACCCGCAGGAGACGUCUGUGGUGGCGCAGUUCCCCGACAACUUCGCCGCCGAGCGCGUCAUGUCGAGUCUGAACAAUCGCAACAUCUUCAACAACGGCAACAAGAUGACCAUGCAGUACACGAACUGGAUCCCGAGCGGCAGCCCGACCCCAAUGAACAGCAACGGCGGUGGCGUGCUGCAGACCUCGGCCUUUGACAACGGCAACAUCUUUGCGGCCCAGCAGUUGCCACCGCAGCCACAGAUGCCGCCGCAGCCCCAGAUGCAGCCACAAAUGCCGCCGCAGCCGCAGAUGCCCCAGCAGCCCCAGAUUCAGUUGCCGACCCCACAGAUUCAGCAGCCGUCGCAGAUGCCCCAGCAGAUGCCGCCGCAGCCGAUGCCUCAGAUGCAGCACAUGCCGCAGCCUCAGCCGCAGCCGCAAAUGUCGGUCUUCAACAACCCUGGCCCCGGCAUGAUGCCGCCGCAACAGAUGGACCCCUGGUACGGCGCCAACCCCGCCAUGGAGAUGAUGAGCGUCACCGUUGGCUUUCCGGGUGCCGUUCGCGGCAACGCUAUGAUGCGCGGCGGUCGCGCUCGCGGGCGCGGUGGCCGCGGCGGCUACGGCCUCGACACCAUGGGUGUGCAGACUGGCUACAUGCCAUUUCCCCAGGUCGGCGGCAUGGCCCGCGGUGGCGCCAACAUGAUGCCGCGCAUGAACUACGUGCAGUACCAGCCGUUCGGCCAGCCGCCGACCGUCUUUGUGAGCGUGACCCUCGUCCCGAUCACCGAGCCGCUGCAGACCAUCUUUACGCUGAUGGAGGCGUUCGGUGGCGUUGUGGCGAUCCGCCGCAACCAGAACAAGAAGGAGAUUCUGACAGUCAAGGCUGCGUCGCCGGACGACGCGCUGGCCAUCGUGACCUUCAUGCACCGUGUGCCGUACGUGGGAGGUCAGGUGAGCGGCAAGCUCUUUCCCAACUACGUGGAGCGCUACCCGUGCACUGACGAAGGCGACCCGCUCGACCCCGAGACGCUGCAGUACGACUUCACCGCUUCCCGUCACCGCAGCCCGGGCCAGCGCAGCAAGGCUGUGCCGUCACGCAUCAUCAAGAUCACGGGCUGCAGCGCGUACGAGGAUACUGAAGUGAUGACGUACCUCAACAGCAAGGGCAUCAACCCCGAGCGCGUCACCAAGUCCGAGGACGGCUCCUUCGAAGUUCAUCUGAGGGACGUGGCGACCUCCGUGAAGGUGCUCCUGGAGUGCCAGGGAAGCGUGUGCGACGAGGAGAAGUCGAACGUCAUCUUUGUCGAGGGCCCUCGCGACGAUCCGGUCAGCACAGAGCAGAAGGCGAUGGAGGAGCAGGCGAACGAGCAGUAGGUCCACGCCGACCCAUUCUUUCGCCGAUCACCACCGUAUAUAUAUAUAUAUAUAUGGUUGGUGCCUCAUCCUAUGAUGUGCUCUCUUUGGUGCCGGCGUUGAUGGCACGUGCGAGGAGUGUCGUUUUGUGCUGCCGUCCCUUCCCUCCCGCCGUUUUCGUUGCGAAUACGGACGCGUACGCGCGCGUGUGUGUCUGUGUGAGAGUCUGUUGCCGUCUUCGCUGGUUUCGGUGUCGGCGUUCUUGGCGUGGUGGUGUUUGUACUGUGAACACGUAGUGAAUCGGAUAGACGAACGACGAAUUAUUUAGGAAUUUUUAUCAUUGUGUGUUUCUGCAUUCUGUAUUUUUCUGUGUAAACAUGCCGAUACUGUAAGGAGAAAGGGGGAUUAGGGUUGGAGAAUGGGAGGAGGAGCAAUGCCCGCAGGUAGCCGUGCAUGCGUGCGUACAAGCACGCACAGACGGACAUAUCGGUUCAUCUCUCCAUCUUGCUCUCAAACUCGUUGUCAUCUCUAUUGCCAUCCUCUUGAAUGCUGGCGUUUUCCGGAGUUUAAUGUUUUUUUUUUUGUUUUGUUUGUCCCUCUUGGGUAAGGUACGUUAAAAAGCCGAAAAGGAAAGAGAAACGAAAAGACCUCCAUGAAGUGAAACAUAACCCCCUGCCCGUGUCCUUGUGUUGUCUUUCCGUGUGCGCGCGCGCAGCCAUUCGCGCGCACGCAGUUCUGGAUUGCGUCGACGCGGAAACGCUACUUUAGUGUCUCACCGCUUGUCGUCUUUCCUUUUCUCUAUGAAGACAUCACCCGACUCUUGUCUCUCUGUGUAUGCGCGUAUGUGUGUGUAUGUGUGUGUGCGUGAGUGAUCGGCGGCAUUUGGUGUGCGCUACGAGUUUAGAGAGAGCAAGAGUGACCCUGAACGGGUGCUCGGCGUGCGUGUGCCAUUCCUCGUUAGACUCUCUCUUUCCGGCUCUGAGCAUCGCCGCGAAUUUCGCACCUCUGCGCUCAUGCGUGUGUGCAUGUGUGUGACGCCGAGUGCAUUGCACAGUCUGCAGAGAUGCGCUCGCUCAAGCUCCAGCACAAACGCAUGCUCACGUACAUACAUACACACACACACACACAGCCGCCGCCGGCUCCUCCGAAUCCCUCUUCUGCACGCUUUCCAGUUUUGAUUGGCGCUCGCGAGCUUGCAGUCGUACCUGUUUUUU
rnacentral:misc_RNA from 1 species